rnacentral:rRNA from 1 species
UACGUAGGGCGCAAGCGUUUGUCCGGAAUUAUUGGGCGUAAAGAGCUCGUAGGCGGUGUGUCGCGUCGGCCGUGAAACCUGCAGCUUAACUGUGGGCUUGCGGUCGAUACGGGCAUCACUGGAGUUCGGCAGGGGAGACUGGAAUUCCUGGUGUAGCGGUGAAAUGCGCAGAUAUCAGGAGGAACACCGGUGGCGAAGGCGGGUCUCUGGGCCGAUACUGACGCUGAGGAGCGAAAGCGUGGGGAGCGAACAGG